CCUACGGGAGGCAGCAGUGGGGAAUAUUGGGCAAUGGAGGAAACUCUGACCCAGCGACGCCGCGUGCGGGAUGAAGGCCUUCGGGUUGUAAACCGCUUUCAGCAGGGAAUAAGCGCAAGUGAAGGUACCUGCAGAAGAAGCACCGGCUAACUAUGUGCCAGCAGCCGCGGUAAUACAUAGGGUGCAAGCGUUGUCCGGAAUUAUUGGGCGUAAAGAGCUCGUAGGUGGUUUGUUACGUCGGAUGUGAAAAUCAGGGGCUCAACCCCUGACCUGCAUUCGAUACGGGCAAGCUGGAGUUUGGUAGGGGAGACUGGAAUUCCUGGUGUAGCGGUGGAAUGCGCAGAUAUCAGGAGGAACACCGAUGGCGAAGGCAGGUCUCUGGGCCAAUACUGACACUGAGGAGCGAAAGCGUGGGGAGCGAACAGGAUUAGAUACCCUGGUAGUCCACGCCGUAAACGGUGGGCACUAGUUGUGCGAACCUUCCACGGUUUGUGCGACGCAGCUAACGCAUUAAGUGCCCCGCCUGGGGAGGUACGAGUCGCGAGAUUAAACUUAAAUAGAAGUUAGUACGGCGUGAGACGUGCGACGACGACGACGAGGGAGGAGG
rnacentral:rRNA from 1 species